AUAUAUCAUAAUAAUCACAUCAAUUAGACUGGUCAACUAAUGUGAACGCUUAAGCACAAUGGUUGUCCAACAAAUGAGAGAAUUGAACUUCAGUUUUAUAAGGCUAUCGUGUUUUUUGUGGAUUUGGUUUGUUUUUUACAUCUGCAAAAUUUGGGACGCUACAUAGUCUACAGUUAAUUAAGAUCGACGGUGGAGAAGACAAAGGAAAGCCACAGUUACAAUAGUUCUUGAUCUUGCAUGCUUUAUCUAACAGAAUUAUUCUUAAAGUUCAUUUUAUUGGAAUUAACUUUUUAUUUUGAAUGUUUUUUGUAUCGUUUGUUGUGGUAGUACUAUUAACAUAUUUAUUUUUUUUGUAGUAGUCUAACAAUAGUAUUGCUUACCUCUUCGCUUAGCUUACU